rnacentral:rRNA from 1 species
CAGGACGAACGCUGGCGGCGUGCUUAACACAUGCAAGUCGAACGAUGAAGCCCUUCGGGGUGGAUUAGUGGCGAACGGGUGAGUAACACGUGGGCAAUCUGCCCUUCACUCUGGGACAAGCCCUGGAAACGGGGUCUAAUACCGGAUAAUACUUCCACUCUCCUGGGUGGUUGUUGAAAGCUCCGGCGGUGAAGGAUGAGCCCGCGGCCUAUCAGCUUGUUGGUGAGGUAAUGGCUCACCAAGGCGACGACGGGUAGCCGGCCUGAGAGGGCGACCGGCCACACUGGGACUGAGACACGGCCCAGACUCCUACGGGAGGCAGCAGUGGGGAAUAUUGCACAAUGGGCGAAAGCCUGAUGCAGCGACGCCGCGUGAGGGAUGACGGCCUUCGGGUUGUAAACCUCUUUCAGCAGGGAAGAAGCGAAAGUGACGGUACCUGCAGAAGAAGCGCCGGCUAACUACGUGCCAGCAGCCGCGGUAAUACGUAGGGCGCAAGCGUUGUCCGGAAUUAUUGGGCGUAAAGAGCUCGUAGGCGGCUUGUCACGUCGGGUGUGAAAGCCCGGGGCUUAACCCCGGGUCUGCAUUCGAUACGGGCUAGCUAGAGUGUGGUAGGGGAGAUCGGAAUUCCUGGUGUAGCGGUGAAAUGCGCAGAUAUCAGGAGGAACACCGGUGGCGAAGGCGGAUCUCUGGGCCAUUACUGACGCUGAGGAGCGAAAGCGUGGGGAGCGAACAGGAUUAGAUACCCUGGUAGUCCACGCCGUAAACGGUGGGAA